rnacentral:rRNA from 1 species
CCUACGGGAGGCAGCAGUGAGGAAUAUUGGUCAAUGGACGAGAGUCUGAACCAGCCAAGUAGCGUGAAGGAUGACUGCCCUAUGGGUUGUAAACUUCUUUUAUAUGGGAAUAAAAUGUUCCACGUGUGGGAUUUUGUAUGUACCAUCUGAAUAAGGAUCGGCUAACUCCGUGCCAGCAGCCGCGGUAAUACGGAGGAUCCGAGCGUUAUCCGGAUUUAUUGGGUUUAAAGGGAGCGUAGGUGGAUUGUUAAGUCAGUUGUGAAAGUUUGCGGCUCAACCGUAAAAUUGCAGUUGAAACUGGCAGUCUUGAGUACAGUAGAGGUAGGCGGAAUUCGUGGUGUAGCGGUGAAAUGCUUAGAUAUCACGAAGAACUCCGAUUGCGAAGGCAGUUCACUGGACUGCAACUGACACUGAGGCUCGAAAGUGUGGGUAUCAAACAGGAUUAGAUACCCUAGUAGUC